rnacentral:misc_RNA from 1 species
CACCACUCAAGCUCAGCUUGGUAUUGAGGGCCGCCCCGGUGGGGCGCCCCCGAAAAACAGCGGCGGUGCGGCCGGAUCUUCCAGCGCAGUGACUUAUAAUCUCGUUGCGAGGAUCCGAUCGUCCCGGCCGGACAACCCCCAAUUUUUUCUAU